AGAGUUUGAUCCUGGCUCAGGAUGAACGCUGGCGGCGUGCUUAACACAUGCAAGUCGAACGAAGCACCUUGAUUUGAUUCUUCGGAUGAAGAUCUUGGUGACUGAGUGGCGGACGGGUGAGUAACGCGUGGGUAACCUGCCUCAUACAGGGGGAUAACAGUUAGAAAUGACUGCUAAUACCGCAUAAGACCACAGCACCGCAUGGUGCAGGGGUAAAAACUCCGGUGGUAUGAGAUGGACCCGCGUCUGAUUAGGUAGUUGGUGGGGUAACGGCCUACCAAGCCGACGAUCAGUAGCCGACCUGAGAGGGUGACCGGCCACAUUGGGACUGAGACACGGCCCAAACUCCUACGGGAGGCAGCAGUGGGGAAUAUUGCACAAUGGGGGAAACCCUGAUGCAGCGACGCCGCGUGAGCGAUGAAGUAUUUCGGUAUGUAAAGCUCUAUCAGCAGGGAAGAAAAUGACGGUACCUGACUAAGAAGCACCGGCUAAAUACGUGCCAGCAGCCGCGGUAAUACGUAUGGUGCAAGCGUUAUCCGGAUUUACUGGGUGUAAAGGGUGCGUAGGUGGCAGUGCAAGUCAGAUGUGAAAGGCCGGGGCUCAACCCCGGAGCUGCAUUUGAAACUGCUCGGCUAGAGUACAGGAGAGGCAGGCGGAAUUCCUAGUGUAGCGGUGAAAUGCGUAGAUAUUAGGAGGAACACCAGUGGCGAAGGCGGCCUGCUGGACUGUUACUGACACUGAGGCACGAAAGCGUGGGGAGCAAACAGAAUUAGAUACCCUGGUAGUCCACGCCGUAAACGA
rnacentral:rRNA from 1 species